CCUACGGGGGGCAGCAGUGAGGAAUAUUGGUCAAUGGGCGGGAGCCUGAACCAGCCAAGUCGCGUGAGGGACGACGGUCCUAUGGAUUGUAAACCUCUUUUGUCGGGGAACAAAGGCGCCCACGGGUGGGCGGAUGAGUGUACCCGAAGAAAACGCAUAGGCUCACUCCGUGCCAGCAGCCGCGGUAAUACGGCGGAUGCGAGGGUUAUCAGGAUUUAUUGGGUUAAAAGGGUGCGUAGGCGGACAGCCAAGUCUGCGGGAAAAAUUCGGUGCUCAACGCCGUACAGCCGUUGAAACUGGCAGUCUGGAGUGGGCGAGAAGUAUGCGGAAUGCGUGGUGUAGCGGUGAAAUGCAUAGAUAUUAGGAAGAACUCCGAUGGCGAAGGCAGCUUACCGGCGCCCGACUGACGCUGAGGCACGAAAGCGUGGGUAGCGAACAGGAUUAGAUACCCCUGUAGUC
rnacentral:rRNA from 1 species